UAUGAUCAUAGCACUUUGAAACAUUGGUUCUCAUUCAAUCACUGAAGUUAAGCAACGUUGAGCCUGGUCAGUACCUAGAUGGGUGACUACUUUGGAAUAUGAGGUGCUGUAAG